rnacentral:rRNA from 1 species
UGGGGAAUAUUGCACAAUGGGCGCAAGCCUGAUGCAGCCAUGCCGCGUGUAUGAAGAAGGCCUUCGGGUUGUAAAGUACUUUCAGCGGGGAGGAAGGGAGUAAAGUUAAUACCUUUGCUCAUUGACGUUACCCGCAGAAGAAGCACCGGCUAACUCCGUGCCAGCAGCCGCGGUAAUACGGAGGGUGCAAGCGUUACUCGGAAUUACUGGGGGUAAAGGGCACGCAGGCGGUUUGUUAAGUCAGAUGUGAAAUCCCCGGGCUCAACCUGGGAACGGCAUCUGAUACUGGCAAGCUUGAGUCUCGUAGAGGGGGGUAGAAUUCCAGGUGUAGCGGUGAAAUGCGUAGAGAUCUGGAGGAAUACCGGUGGCGAAGGCGGCCCCCUGGACGAAGACUGACGCUCAGGUGCGAAAGCGUGGGGAGCAAACAGG